CCCGCAACCCGACCGGGACCCACGACACAAGGAAACUUUGCCGCGAAGGGGGCAGCUCCUUACCUUGGCUUCGCAUUUCCUGUGACAGGACAACUUGCACCCUGCAAGAGAGAGAAACCAGGUCUCAGUAGGGAGCUCACCUCCCCGGCUCCGAGGGCAGGGAACCGGGCCGGCUUCCUGGGGACAAAGAGGGACUGCCCGGGACAGAAACACCAACCAAAACAAACUCUCCAGGCUGCUGCGGGAAACACAGGCGCAGGCCGGGGCGGAGGAGGGGGAGGCAAGCGAAGCACCUGGCACCUAGCCAAGGAUAGCCUUGGCGGCACAGCCUGUGUCUUCCGCCGUGGGCUGUCUGUCCGACAUGGAGCAUGGAGCGGUCCGGAGUGCCUAAGAACCCCCUCCAGAUGCACGGGACUGCCUGAGCCCGCUGGGGCGGAAAUCUUGCUUUCUUCUGAGAUUUCUAGAAAUCCCUUCGGACCAUUGGACUGGUGUAUAAAGCCCCUUUGCUGUGGGACCUCUUUGGACACAGGCAGCAGGAGGCUGCUGGUGACAACAUUUUUCUAAAGACGGGAAAAAACCAAGACUUGCACAAGGGAAGGAACACGCUGCUAACGCCUGCCUCGUUAUAAACCAGCACUCACCACUCCCCUCACUCCCGGGGCUCCGCUGUCCCCGGCGGCCGGAGCACCACGCCGCCCCCCUCCAGGUGCCGCCCCAAGCACAAGCUUGGUGGGCUGGUGCCUGGAGCCGGCCCUGCUGCUGGCCACGUAGUCACUGAUGGACAAGGGGAAUUACCCACCCCAGUCCCCAGGGUCCGGCCCC
rnacentral:lncRNA from 1 species